rnacentral:rRNA from 1 species
GACGAACGCUGGCGGCGUGCUUAACACAUGCAAGUCGAACGGAAAGGCCCUGCUUGUUUGGUGUGCUCGAGUGGCUAACGGGUGAGUAACGCGUGAGUAACCUGCCCUUGACUAUGGUGUAACUUCCGGAAGCUUGGGCGAAUACAGUAUCGGAUCUCCUGCUGCAUGGUGGGGGUUGGAAAUUUUCGGCGGGUGGGGAUGGACUCGCGGCUUAUCAGCUUGUUGUUGGGGUAGGGGCUUACCAAGGCUUUGACGGGUAACGGGCCUGAGAGGUUGACCGGCCACAUUGGGACUGAGAUACGGCCCAGACUCAUAUGGGAGGCAGCAGGGGGGAAUAUUGCACAAUGGGCGGAAGCCUGAUGCAGCAACGCCGCGUGCGGGAUGACGGCCAUCGGGUUGUAAACCGCUGUCGCCUGUGAAGAAGAGUGAGUGACGGUAAUGGGUAAAGAAGCACCGGCUAACUACGUG